CCUUUCUCCUUCUACUGGAUAAAGGACUUUAUGGUCCUUAAUUUGCUCACUCUUACCAACUGGCAAGAAAGAUGGAUUCAGAUAUAAGCAAAGUAUGUGCUUCAAUGGCUGACCUGCUAUCUUCCAGCUCUUGGUCUCUACUUAUGCUCUUUCUGAAGUUCAGUUGCAGGAUGAAGAAGCCACAUCAAUUUUCUGAAGUGUCCAUGAUCAGAACAGAUGAAAUCAGGAUGAGACUUUGCAGUGAGUCACAGCUUAAAUUGUCUCAUUCUGUUCCUCAAAGCACUCCUCCUAGCAGAAGUGCCUCCCUCAGGACCUCAUCUUGGACUUCUGCUAACAGUAUUUGUGCUAAGAACCAUCAUCUCAAACUUCUUCCUUUCUCAGACAUUCCCUCAGUAAUCAUCAUAGCUGUGUGCUCCCUCAAACUUGUCUCCAUGAAACUGCAGACAAAUAUAGGACAGAGAAGAUUAAGAUUUUGUUUAAAGUACAGAGGAAGCUGAGAUUUAAAAAAAAAUUAGCGUAUGGAAAAACAUGAGGAUGCUAAGUGAAAGAGUAGUCUUUAAUUACACAGCCAUGCCCACUUGAUAAUUCUCUUUUGAAGUAUGACUGGAAAAAAGAAGAUUCUUCAAGCAAAUUCAGAAAAGCAGCUUGAAAUAGCAGAGCUGCUGGGGAAUAGGAAGCAGGCAACUGGUUGUUUGCUUUAGGAAAGAAUAGACCAGAAUGAAAGACAAUCAAGAUGGAUACUGAGAACAGCAAACUGAAAACACAUUGUACCUCCUCUCCUCCAGGGAUUAACUGCCCUUGGCUGAUAAGGAAAAAGAAGCCUGUAAAUGCUUUAGGCCUAAAUGUACACAGCAUUCUCUACACUUUGGGAGCACUGAGCAAUCAAUGAAAUCUGCUAAAUGCAGCUGUUGUCCAUAUUUAGCAUACGUAAGGGGGUAAUUCAUACAAGUAGAGUUAUGGUUUCCACAGUGCUUAAUGAAUGAAUGAACUGCUAGUAAUGGGAUGUUUCAGUCUAAAAAAACCCCAAAUAUAUUUUGCAAUAUGCAACUCUGCUGUUAAUAGGAACCAGAUCAUCUUCAUGGGGAAAAGAUUGUGUUUACUACCUUUUCCAACAUUUCUUUCCUACAAUGAUGCUUUUGUAAUUUUCCAUUUAGGUCAGUGCAACACUUCUGGGUAAUCAAGAGAGGUGUUGAGGAGGAAAUUUUAGCACAGACAUUUGGGGGAAAUAAAUUUUAAUUUCACACGAUUUUAAUUGCA
rnacentral:lncRNA from 1 species